GGUUGCGAUCAUAACAGCACUAAUGCACCGGAUCCCAUCAGAACUCCGUAGUUAAGCGUGCUUGGGCGAGAGUAGUACUAGGAUGGGUGACCCCCUGGGAAGUCCUCGUGUUGCAACCC
rnacentral:rRNA from 1 species